GCCAACUGUCACAAGAUGGGGGCUGGGCAGUUACAGCCCUACCUGCUACGUACCUCCAGCCGUGCAAGCUUUGUCUACGUUUUUAUUAUGCAACAGACAUUAAGAAACACACUGAGUUCUCAAGAAAAAUCUCUGCAGUAGCCAACAUUACUGCCGCUUCUCCUGCACAAAGAGGCUCAGCAUUGGCGUUGAGUACCUUUGCAAAGCCAAGACAAACGCCCCUUCCAUUGCAUUUUGAAGCCUGCUGGAGAUCUCAAAGCCUCAGGAAGGUGAGAGCCAUUGCCAGCCUCUCAGCAGCACUGCAACCACCCAACAUCAGAACUGAAAGGUGGAGAAAAUGAAGAGAAGAACAGCUGGACCAAAACAGGAUGAAAUGAUGGAGGAAGCCACUGUUGCAACUGGAAUCCCACGGGUUUAAGAUGUGUCCAUCUGUCAUGUUUUUCUGUACAUUACCUGAUAUAUUACAGGAGCUGCCAGGAAUUGACCGUGGUUGGAAUGCACACCACAGCCAUCUGCUUCAGCCAACACGGUGCUCACAGUGAGCAGCUAUGGGGCCAGAGCCCCCAGAAGGCACAGCCCAAAUUUCGGAAGAAUUAGGGAUUCCGUGACCAGCUCAACAUAUAAAAUCCCACGCAUUUUUUCCUAUCUAGUUCACAAAAUACAAAUAGGUUGUUAGGAACCUACUUCUGCCACACGGUACUAAUAAGCUAACAGAUUUCAGCUCAUUUUUCCUGUCUGCUUUAGAGAGACUUACUUAGUUCCUAUAGAGUACAUGCGUUAUUUGCAUUUACCAAAAAAUGGUGCGAGCCAUCGCAGCAGCUCGCUGCUUACAUUGCCAUUGCAACAAGCGAUUGCUAAGAGUUAGGAGAACUUCUUGUUCUGCAGAAGACAGCGCCUUUCUUUAGCGCACGCAAGGCAACGUGGUGACAGCACAAAAUUAAAUGCUUUGUCUCGAGAGAACAGCGCUGACUUAUAACAGCAGAAGCAGGACAAGGCUGAGAUGUAUCAUCGAAAAUAAAUAUAUCUCCAAGGCGAUUAAUCUACUGUGUAUCCGAUAUACUGAGAAACAAAUCCUCCCUCCUUCUCCCCUGGAUAGUAUUUUCCAGGUGGGCCCAAGCACUUUGGUCAUACCCAGGAUCUUUCGGAAGCAACAGGUCACGGAGAGAAGGGACGAGAAAGGUGGGAGAGGAAGGGAAGCACGGAGGAAGGCGGUUGGAGCCUUACCGUUGUGAAACAGCCGGGAGCAAAACGCAAAGCAACGCAACGCGGUCCAAAGGAGAACCCAAAACAAAAAUCCAAACCAGCACCGAAAAACCCCAAAUGCCCCAUCUCGUUUUUCUGAGCCCUCAAUAGAGUGCUUUCUCCAGCUAUGCGGUACCCAUGAAAUAUAAAACCACCCUAAUGGUCGCCCAGGUUACCGACUUCAUUUAGUUAAUCAUCACCACUAUUACCAAUGUUCAGGCCUUGAGAAAAAAAGGAAAGAAUGACUGAAGAGGAGUGGAAAACAAGAAACUUAAGUGAGUCCCACCCCCUUUUAUUUUGUAUUACUUUACACAUCGGGAGCAAUUAGGUUUAUACCUGCUUUACCUUGAUUUCUCCUCCCCUUUUCUGCUCCCUACCGCCUCCCGCACUUGCUUCUCAAAGUUCCCCCAGCCCUAAAACAAUGGGGUAUCCAUUAAUCGGGUAUCAGAUAUGCCAGGGGGGACACGGAGGUGCCCGGCUUUGCCCGGGCAGCUGCAGGUCUGGAAAGGAAUGCAGCUCCAGUGGGGGGAAAAAUUACUUGUUGGUUAACCUGCAGGGUGAGCCUUAAUCAAUAGGCACGGACGAUGAAAAGAACAAAGCAUGUGAAACUUAAGCCUUUAUAUCUUGAGCUCCAUCAGAUAAAAGCUGUACCUGGAGCUGGAAAGGACAGCCAGGCUUAGCUGGGAGCUUAAACGCAUCAGCGCGAUCCAGGUUGUUUCAGGAGUUCACUUGGCUUAUUGACUGCCGUUCCCUUCUGCCACCACCAAAGAUUAAAACACAAAAAUUAAGGACAGGAAGAAAGCCCUGUUUCCUACGUGUGCAAACCUCCACACAAAAGGGGAAGCCUAGCAGAGUUCUUACAGUUCUAUGGCUAUCUCAUGGGAGCGACUUCCAAAGGCUACCAUCAGCUGGUAUGUGGUCAUAUAAGCAUAUUUUAACGUCCCCUUUCAUUCACUUUGGGCCCGAUUAAAUUAAAAGCAUCAUUCUGGGGAGGAUUUUUCUUUUCAUUCUGAAAUGAAGCUUAGCUCCAUUUUUAUAGAGCAGCCUGCAUUGGUAAAUCUGUGUCAGCGGGUCAGGCCAGCUCUGGGACCCACAGCCCUCUGAGCUCAUUCCCUGCACGGAGCAGCAUUGCAGUUGGUGUUAACAAGGGCAGGAGAAGCGCUGAGCCCCUGAUCCAUUGGAAAUACUGUAUGGCAUCACCGUAUCUGGCAGAUAGAGUUUGCUGCUGGGCAGCCCCAGCUCUCAGGCGCCAGAUUUGUACGUUCUGACUGUUAGCAUUUCUGAAGUGUGCUAAUACAGCCAUGAUCGUAAUGGCGAGUAGUAUAAUUAUUCUGAGAACUUACUAUGCCUUCACCAGGCUCAUCGCUUGCGGGGCAGAAUGGGAGAAUGAGACAGAAUUCAGAGUUUAGCUAAUAUUUUCCCAAAUCCUGGCAUUCCUAUGCUUUUCUUUCAGUUGCUUCAGUUUAAGUUGCCCGUAUGUCAAACGGUGCCUUCUAAGAGCUCUGAUUCUCGUUCAGUAAUGAGUUCUAAUAAUUCAGUGAUUAAAUUAAUUAAUUUUGAGAGCCCUUAAGACACCCACGAGUGAAGGUACUUGCAGAAGUCUUGCACGUACCACCUCCAGCUCCGCGUGGGCGCUGAGCGUCAGACGCUCGCAGCCGCAAUGCCAGCUAAAUUAAAAAAGGGAUGAAAACCAAUUAAAAGGACUGAGACUGGUACUGAAUUGGAAAAGUCAAUAGGAAAUGGAUAAAAGCUCAUAUCUGGCUUGGUGUUUGUGCAUAAAUAUGGCACGAUUUUUGCAGUCAUAAUGAUGUUCCCUGAGACUCCAGCAAGCACAAACUAAUCUUCUGUCAGAGGAGUCUAGAACAAAGCAAAGCCCUCUAACUUUUUCCUUGCAAGGAAUAUGAUUUAGGUAAUAUUUGCAAUCACAGGGAGAAGAUAUAGGCAAGAAUAAAAAAUAAAAGUCAAGAAUUAGACGCAGUGAAACGGAGGGGUGAGUAAUCUAGAAGCAUUUCCUGCAAUUUUGACAAUUUUUUUUUAGAAAUUAAAGACGUUUUAGAAAACAAACAAAUCUGGGAGCAUUCAGUCAAGGCAGGCUCAGCUCCCUGGCUGGACAAGCCCCAUCCCCUGGCACCGGCUGGCCCAGCUCAGUGCCUCACAGAACCUUCUCGAAGGCCGUUUGACUGGAGGGGUGGAGGGACCGCGUGAGCAAACAUUUUCUGCUGACUGCAAAGUGUCUGCAAAGCCAGCCCAGCGCCUCUUCCUGAACCGGGUGGCUGCAUUGCACACGGAGCCUGCUUGCUUACAAAACACCUCUCUCUCCUCAUCCAAGUUUACCACGUCAACAGCAUCGCCCGCCAGCUGCCAGCCCAACGAGGAGCCAAAAAGGAGCUUUUUGGGUGCCUCCAUCUUCCUGUCUGUGGGAGCACCUCACCAGGCAGCCAAGCGCUUUGUUUUGUCUCCUGCUCCCCGGUGUCCGAGCAGGCAGUGCAAGCAGGGGCUGGUUGGGUUGGCACCGGGCCCUCUGCAGCAAGAGCGAGGAGCCCUAAUGGUGCUCGUUUGGUUGUGCACGCACACAUGAAAAAGCCUCGGGUAAGAAAAGAAUAAACAAAACCAACCCAAAAUGGCUUCUCCGUGCCAUGAGCGGAAACCGAUGGGUGAGGCAGAGAGAGACCUUCCCUUCGCUUCCACCUCAACUAGGUGGUCUGAAAAGUUCCAAAUCUCCUUCCUCCACUUGCAGCGCAGAAGCUGAGGAAUUAAUUCUGGCUCCCAAGAUCCCACAAACAUACGGCUAAAACAAGAGGGUCGGACGUUUUGUAAUUGCAACAAAAUGCAUUAAGAUGGCAGCUGAUUUAGAAUCUAAUUGAAAAAAUGGCAAUCACCACAAAGAAAAGCAAAAGGAGCCCAUAGCGUGCUGCAUUUCAAAGGUCACUGUUAGCACUGCCCAAGCUGGGUCCUCGCUGAAAUGCAGUGAGUCUGCUUGGAUGGAUCUCCCUAGUUUUAUACCAUCACUUUUCAGUUGCCGUAAGCCUUCUCAGAUGGAGUCUUUUUUCCAAGCUCUCCAGGACACCUGGGUGAAACUGGCUUUCCCCCAUGGCUCCCUCCUAUUUGGUUUCUUGGUUCUGCUCUGCCUGCCCUGACUGGUUUGGCUGGUUGGAAAAUGAACGCUGGAUUCAUGCGCCGCUCCCCCUCCCCCAGAACUGAGCAGACAAAACCUGAUCCCGACAACAAAACCCUCUUUAAUCCACCUGGGGAGAAAAGGAGGAAGAGAAAAGAGGACAGAGCCCUGCGAAAAAGUGAAGUGGAGAGGACGAACACAGGUAUGAAAAGCACUGAAGAAGUCAUGCCGCAUGCUACUCAGAUCAUUGCUACCACAGUACCUGGACACCGUGGCUUACCAGUACCAUGAACACACACACCAUUCAUGCAACUUCGGUGCUGAACGCACAGCACCUUUUCCCAAACCAAGAUCGCCAGCCUUCGAGAGGGCAACCAAAGGGACGCAGUGAGCAUCGCGGGUGCACAGCAGGGCUUCCAACCUUCCCGUGUCCUGGAAAAGAUGAACUUGGAGCGAGAGGCGUUCGCAGCGGAGGGAGGAAAAAAAAUAAAAAUAAAAAUCGAACUAAACCUGAAAAAAAAAAAAAAAAACCAACACAACUCAAAGUGGUAUCAGCCUACCGAAACCUAACCAAACUAAAAAAGAAAAUAAAAUAGGAAAGCAAAAGGAUUAAACCACGCGUGGUUUUCUUCGCAGCCCAGAGCUCUGCUGCUUGUUUAAGCUGGAAUUGAGAAGAGACGGCGAGUGUCUACGGGCUCGUCUUACAUGUAGUCCUUCACCCCUCCCUGCGCAGGUGCAUUCCUUGCGCCCAGCCAAUCUGCGGCCGCUGGCCCCCAACAGGUGUGUCCUCCGCGGGGAGCGGCCGGCUGAGCCUCAGCCCUGUGCCGAGGCGGCCUCUCCGGGGGCACUCAGCCUCCCCACUGCUGUCUUGAACAAAGAAUCGAUUAUUUACGAAGCGUGGGCUCCGACCUGGUGCUCCUGCUCCACCUCGUGCUCCUCCCAGGCGCCCCAAAUGUUGGCGUGAUGUGGUGCUACCGGUUCGGUGCUGGGAAAUAUUGCAGGGCUGUUUGUCAACCUGUUGAAUGAGAAAUGUGAUUAUUUAACUGAAACCCACCUGGGUCACCUCACCUGCAGCAGCAGAGCGUCGGUGGGUUGCUGAUUGCUUUCCCAAGCGAAGGAUGUAACAUGCACAGGGGCAACCUAAGGCACAAAGAGGUGCAAGGACUUUCUGUAGGGCACAGCCAUGACUUUGCUGGUGAAUCCCCAAGGGCUGAUUAUUUCUUCAUCUUUGAAAACAGCAGCUUGGAUCCCACCAUCGUCUAGUCUUGGCACACAGAGUAAUCACAUAAACUAACAAGGAAUCCGACCAGAAUUUCACUGCCCUGCUAUGCAGGCUAGCAAUAGCAGAGGCCCACAGCUGGAUUCAUAAAAUCAUAGAAUGGCUUCGGUUGGAAGGGGCCUUAAAGAUCAUGCAGCUCCAACCAAGGAUGCCAAACACCAGAUCAGGCUGCCCAUGGCCCCAUCCAACCUAUCCUUGAAUUCCUACGUCCUUCCAGGAGUACCAUGACCGAAAACCCAACAAUCUCAGCACAG
ensembl:lncRNA